rnacentral:rRNA from 1 species
GUGAACGCUGGCGGUAGGCCUAACACAUGCAAGUCGAACGGCAGCACAGUAAGAGCUUGCUCUUACGGGUGGCGAGUGGCGGACGGGUGAGGAAUACAUCGGAAUCUACUUUUUCGUGGGGGAUAACGUAGGGAAACUUACGCUAAUACCGCAUACGACCUACGGGUGAAAGCAGGGGAUCUUCGGACCUUGCGCGAUUGAUUGAGCCGAUGUCGGAUUAGCUAGUUGGCGGGGUAAAGGCACACCAAGGCGACGAUCCGUAGCUGGUCUGAGAGGAUGAUCAGCCACACUGUAACUGAGACACGGUCCAGACUCCUACGGGAGGCAGCAGUGGGGAAUAUUGGACAAUGGGCGCAAGCCUGAUCCAGCCAUACCGCGUGGGUGAAGAAGGCCUUCGGGUUGUAAAGCCCUUUUGUUGGGAAAGAAAAGCAGCAGGUUAAUACCCCGCUGUUCUGACGGUACCCAAAGAAUAAGCACCGGCUAACUUCGUG